rnacentral:lncRNA from 1 species
UUGGCUUGUCUGACAGCGGUGUCCGACGCCAUCACAACCUUUAAUGGAUUUUGGAUCGAGACAUGAAACACUUUCUCUCCGACCUUCCAAUUUUUCAAGCACUUUCCCUUCAACUUUCGCUUAUUAGAGCACUUUCUCUCCAACUUUUCAAUUGCCGUGCAACUUUCCAAUUGUUGAAGCACUAUCUCUCCGACUUCUAACUUUUUAUUGCCCACUUUUCUCCAAUUUUUAAAGAAAAACUUCUUUCUCUUGUGCAAUGUUCGCUUUGAUUCUUUUUUUUUUUAAAUCUGUAAUAUUUUUUCUCAAUUCUUCUCAGCAUGAUUUUUUUUCAUGCAUAUAUCAUUUGUCCGACGGUCUCAGCAUGAUUGUUUUUCUUGCAUAUACUGCAAGGUAGAAAAAUUUCUUUUCUGGUUGAUUCUCUUGGUAUCUUUUGCAAUAUAAAGGCCUCUUCGGUUGAUUUUUCAUCUCUAAUUGCCCUGCUUUGCUCAACAGCUUGCAAAGCAUUGACUAAAUCAUUAACCAAAAAGACACGUAUCAUGUAUUCAUUGAGUUGACGUAAAUACCAGCUACGAGUAAAUUUUUACCUGAUUAUAAUCAGCCUGAGACCUCUAAUGCUUCGUUUCAAUAGGAAUGUUAACUUAAGGUCAUCAAGAGCUAACAAUUUUUUUUAAAAAAAAAGGAAUAUAAGUUAUACACGCGGACAACCGAUGCAGUUUAAUAACACAAUAUCAUAUGUUAUACUUGGACCAAUAAACGCAAAAAUUGAAAAACUUGCAAAGGAGAAGGUAUUUCACGCUCAUAACAUGCUGAAAUGAAGGGAAAAUACCAAAACUAAGGAACUGAAAUAGCGUAUUUCUUUUUUAUACACAAAUUUUCAGAAGGAAAUAUUCUACUUUGAGAAAUAGUCCUCAGUCCGUCCCUUGAAUCCAAUUUGUCCAAAAGUUAGGCAGAUGAACAAGCCCAAAUGCCAGCAGACCAACCAUAGCC